rnacentral:rRNA from 1 species
UACGAAGGGGGCUAGCGUUGCUCGGAAUCACUGGGCGUAAAGCGCACGUAGGCGGCUUUCUAAGUCAGGGGUGAAAUCCUGGAGCUCAACUCCAGAACUGCCUUUGAUACUGGAGAGCUUGAGUCCGGAAGAGGUGAGUGGAACUCCCGAGUGUAGAGGUGAAAUUCGUAGAUAUUCGGAAGAACACCAGUGGCGAAGGCGGCUCACUGGUCCGGUACUGACGCUGAGGUGCGAAAGCGUGGGGAGCAAACAGG